rnacentral:rRNA from 1 species
AGACCCGAAACCCGGUGAUCUAGCCAUGGGCAGGUUGAAGGUUGGGUAACACUAACUGGAGGACCGAACCGACUAAUGUUGAAAAAUUAGCGGAUGACCUGUGGCUGGGGGUGAAAGGCCAAUCAAACCGGGAGAUAGCUGGUUCUCCCCGAAAGCUAUUUAGGUAGCGCCUCGUGAAUUCAUCUCCGGGGGUAGAGCACUGUUUCGGCUAGGGGGCCAUCCCGGCUUACCAACCCGAUGCAAACUGCGAAUACCGGAGAAUGUUAUCACGGGAGACACACGGCGGGUGCUAACGUCCGUCGUGAAGAGGGAAACAACCCAGACCGCCAGCUAAGGUCCCAAAGUCAUGGUUAAGUGGGAAACGAUGUGGGAAGGCCCAGACAGCCAGGAUGUUGGCUUAGAAGCAGCCAUCAUUUAAAGAAAGCGUAAUAGCUCACUGGUCGAGUCGGCCUGCGCGGAAGAUGUAACGGGGCUAAACCAUGCACCGAAGCUGCGGCAGCGAACGUAUCACUUAAAGCGAUUCAGCGGGUUACGAUUGACGGAGCG